GAAGACGGCAUACGAGAUGUGCGGACGUGACUGGAGUUCAGACGUGUGCUCUUCCGAUCUGGCUAAAUACUCCCGAGAGACCGAUAGUGAACCAGUACCGCGAGGGAAAGGUGAAAAGUACCCCGAGCAGGGGGGUGAAAUAGACCCUGAACCCGCGCGCCUACAAGCGGUCGGAGCUGCCUUGUGCAGUGACGGCGUGCCUUUUGCAUAAUGAGCCUACGAGUUAGUCGUCACCAGCGAGGUUAAGGGCUUCAGGCCCGUCAGCCGAAGUGAAAGCGAGCCUUAACAGGGCGUGAAGUUGGUGGCGCUAGACGCGAAACCUUGUGAUCUACCCACGAGCAGGUUGAAGUCGCGGUAACACGUGAUGGAGGACCGAACCGGUAAACGUUGAAAAGUUUUCGGAUGACUCGCGGGUAGGGGUGAAAGGCCAAUCAAACUGGGAAAUAGCUCGUACUCUCCGAAAUGCAUUUCGGUGCAGCCUGUGAUGUUCUGUUCCAGAGGUAGAGCUACUGGUUGGACGCGAGGGCUUCACCGCCUAUCAAAUCCGGAUAAACUCCGAAUGCUGGAACACGAAAUCAUGGAGUGAGCCCGCGGGUGCUAAGGUCCGCGGACGAGAGGGAAAGAACCCGGACCACCGGCUAAGGUCCCGGAUGGACAGUUAAGUUGAUCAAACGAGGUGGGAUCGCGGAGACAGCUAGGAUGUUGGCUUGGAAGCAGCCAUUCAUUUAAAGAGUGCGUAACAGCUCACUAGUCGAGCGAUCCCGCGUGGAUAAUACACGGGCAUCAAACUGUCAACCGAAGCCGUGGGGUCAGCGAAAAGCUGACCGGUAGGAGAGCAUUCCUGCCAGCGUUGAAGGUCACCCGCGAGAGUGACUGGAGCGGCAUGAAAAGCAAAUGUAGGCAUAAGUAACGAUAAUGGGGGCGAGAACCCCCCACGCCGCAAGACCAAGGCUUCCCCGGCAAUGUCAAUCAGCCGGGGGUCAGCCGGCCUCUAAGGCUAACCCGAAGGGGGAUGCCGACGAGAAACGGGUUAACAUUCCCGUGCUUCUCGUCACCGUGACGCGGUGACGGGGUGAUGAAUGGACCGCGCGCUGACGGAAUAGCGCGUUGAAGGCCGUACCCUUCGAGGGUGGUAGUCAAGCACGCCACCCGAGGCGAUAGCCGAUAGUACCACGAGACUCCGGUCGAGUGGAUAGCGUCCAGGCAAUUUACCCCCGAGAAAACCCGCUAAACUUCAAGUGACGAGGAACCGUACUGUAAACGGACACACGUGGUCGGGUAGAACAUACCAAGGCGCUCGAGUGAUUCAUGGUCAAGGAACUAGGCAAAAUAGUCCUGUAACUUCGGGAAAAAGGACGCUCUAGUGAUAGAGCCGCAGAGUAAUGGCCCAGGCGACUGUUUACCAAAAACACAGGGCUGUGCCAAAUCGAAAGAUGACGUAUAUGGCCUGACACCUGCCCGGUGCCGGAAGGUUAAGAGGAGAGCUCAUCGGAAACGAGAAGGUUUGAAUUGAAGCCCCGGUAAACGGCGGCCGUAACUAUAACGGUCCUAAGGUAGCGAAAUUCCUUGUCGGGUAAGUUCCGACCUGCACGAAUGGUGUAACGAUCUGGGCACUGUCUCGACCAUGAGCUCGGUGAAAUUGUAGUUCCGGUGAAGAUGCCGGGUACCCGCGACGGGACGGAAAGACCCCGUGAACCUUUACUGCAGCUUCGCGUUGUUCCCGGGCACGGGACGUGUAGGAUAGGUCGGAGGCUACGAUUCGGUUUCGCCAGGAAUCGAGGAGCCAUCGUUGAAAUACGACCCUUCUCUUGUCUGGGAUCUAACCCUAGGUACAGGUAUUGUUACCAAAAUCAUUUUCUGAAUCCGGAUCAUUUUCAUCCUUUUCAAAAUUAGCCCCUAAAUCAAUAAGUUUAUUUAUAUUAUCCAUUGAUUCUUCAACUAAAACCCUAACAGAAUCAAUGUUAUUUUCAUACUUUCCAGCUUUUAAAGUAUCUUCAAUGAAUGACUGGAAAUCUUCUUUUCCUCUAGCUACUGCAAUCCCCCCCUGAGCUAGGGAAGAAUUGCAUAAAUUAACUGACUUUUUUGAAACCAUAAUUAUUUCUAAAUCUUCUCUUAAGUUUAAUGAGGCAUAUAGUCCUGCUACCCCACUUCCAACUAUUAAUACAUCAGCUACCCUUUUCAUAGUUUUAGCCCCCAAGUUUAUGCAUAUUUUUUAAUGAAUUAUAUGCCUUUAAUCUUAAAUCCUCAUCUAUUUCAAUUUUAUUUUCCAUUUUUAAAAGACUUUCAUAAAGAUCCUUUAAGGUAGUCAUUUUCAUAUUUCUACAAACCAUCUUUCCAUAUGGAAUAUAAAAUUCUUUUUCCUCUCCAUUUUUUCUCAACUGAUGAAGUACCCCUUCUUCUGUUAUUAUAAUAAAUUUUUUAUUUGAAGAAUUAUUUACAAAAUUUAUUAU
rnacentral:rRNA from 1 species